UUGCGACUAAUAUUGCAACUAAGUUGGUAGUCGCUACCAUUAUUUUUGAAAUUUAUAAAAGAUAUUUUAAAAAAACCCUUUGUAUAUGAGUAGUUGCCGCAAAAAAAUUAAAAAAAAAACCUUAAAAACAAUGUGUUGCCAAACUUUAAAGAAAAAAACUUGAUCAUUCUUUAAAAAAUUGCUUCAUAAAAAAAAAUUAUCUUCUUAAACAUAGUUAGAGUACAGACACACUUCUUCGUAAAAAAAAAUGCAAAAGGCUUCAUUUCAGAGAAUCAACCCUCAUUGUUGCUCAUCAUCUUCCUCCGCUGCACCACCACGUCUCCUCCCAGGUAAGUUGUUUAAAUGCCUGACGUCCCUUCCACCCUUCGCUUAUUGAAUUUUGCUAGCUACGAUUUUUAGGGUUAUCGUUGAUUUUUUUGUUCAAUUAUUGUUUUUAAUGUGGUUUCCAUGGUUUAAUUGAUGUCAAUUAAUUAAAAAUCAUUCACAAUUGAUUGAGUAUGCAAAUAUCCCUAAUUAUUUUCAAUGUAAAAGUCCCAAUUCUGGUAAUUUCGACACUUUUUUUUUUUUUUCUCCACUAGUUAUUAAAUGUGUAAUUUCUGAAGAGGGGGGGUUUGUUGGUUGUUUGUUAAUUACAUUCUCGUUUUGUUUAGAAUUCCUAUUCAUUAGUGGGUAUUGAGGUUCGCUAGUUCUAAUUGAAUUCUUUUUUUUUUUCUCCGAUUUUAUUCUGUUUUUGAGCCUAAUUUGCUGCUGGUUGGUUGUCAUGACAAUGGUUGUAGGUGGUUGCUGCAAUGAUGUGGUGUUAUAUAAUUGAGUUGUGGGGGCAGCAAGUUACGGGCUAGAAUAACAGUAGUUUAAUUGAGUGCGGAAGCAUUUUCUUUCUUUGUUGCUGAAUUGUGAAAAACCUGUUUGGAUGCAUCUUGUCAUUACCUUCCCCAAGUAUAGAAGAUAGCAUGUCAUGUGAACAAGUAUAGAAGAUAGUUCGUAAGUCUUACUUAAUUAUUAGUUAUUGUACUUUCUGGUAAGUUAAUUGUUGCUUUUCAGCAUUUUAACUCGAAUUAUUAUGUUAGCAAGUAUGUUAACGAAUAGGAUAAUGCUUCCAACUAUUUAAAACUCUACCAGAAAGUUAUUAUAAUUUUGAAACUGCUUUCUUGAUUGAGCUAUUCUAUUGUGAACUUAAUGAUGUUCUCCUUCUCUUUAUUUUCUGUCUAUUUCAGUGUGAGUGUGUGCAGUUGACUGUUUGUGCCUAGGUUAUGUUUGUUGCAAUGUUAUAUUCAGCAAUGGAAUAUUGGGGAUUAUAUGUUACAAGUGGGUAAAGGUUUAGUGUGAUGGCAAAGUAGCACUUUACAUGAAUAAGGAAUUUUUGAGAGUCUUUGCGAAAGAGAAGAAUACAAGGGAGUAGCUUUGUAAAAGAGCCUUGUCAAUAUUUGUUAUGCCAGUAUGUCAAUGAAGAGGGGUGAAAUUUUCGUAUGUGCUCUUCCUUGGCUGAGGAAAUAAAGCAAAUUUUAAAUAAGAUAUAAGAUAUUACUCCUUCUACUGCUACCUUACUACUGCUGCUGCUACCACACUUGUUGCUGUUGUUACCACGCUGUUGCUACUACUGCCGCGCUGCCAUUAAAGCAUCGCUUCCAAUUCCAUGCGCUACACUGUGUUAUAAGAGAUUAGUGUAUAUUAUGAUUAACAAAAUCUACUGUUUUUUUUUGUAAUAUAAACAUAAAUUGUAUUAGAUUGUGAACUUUUAUCUAUAUAAUUGAUUAAUUAUUAAUUAAGCAUAAA